AAAACGACUCUCGGCAACAGAUAUCUCGGCUCUCGCAUCGAUGAAGAACGUAGCGAAACGCGAUACUUGGUGUGAAUUGCAGAAUCCCGUGAACCAUCGAGUCUUUGAACGCAAGUUGCGCCCCAAGCCGUUAGGCCGAGGGCACGCCUGCCUGGGUGUCACGC
rnacentral:rRNA from 1 species